GAAGGUGGUUUUCCCAGGGUGAGGCUCAUCCAUUGCACUGCGGGUGUGCUGACCCCUGCGAUUUCCCCAAAUGCGGGAAACUCGACUGCAUAAUUUGUGGUAGUGGGGGACUGCGUUCGCGCUCUCCCCUG
rnacentral:snRNA from 1 species